GCGCCUGUGGCGGAAUUGGUAGACGCGCAAGGUUGAGGGCCUUGUGGACUGUAUGGUCCGUGGAGGUUCGAGUCCUCUCGGGCGCA
rnacentral:tRNA from 1 species